rnacentral:rRNA from 1 species
CUAACAAGGAUUCCCUCAGUAACCGGCGAGUGAAGCGGGAAGAGCUCAAAUUUGAAAUCUCCGAUGCUUGCAUCGGCGAGUUGUAGUUGCGAGAAGCACUUUCUAGGUGGAUCGGUGGUGCCUAAGUUGCUUGGAACGGCACGUCGCAGAGGGUGACAACCCCGUCUGUGGCACCGCCGGCCGCUGACGAUCUGCUUUCGAAGAGUCGGGUUGUUUGGGAAUGCAGCCCAAAACGGGUGGUAAACUCCAUCUAAAGCUAAAUACUUGGCGUGAGACCGAUAGCGAAGGAAACGAAUGGACUCAGCAAUGCGCCGUUUGAGAUUCAGCCGGUGGGUGGCGUCGGCGUCGGGUUUGCGGAUCUGAAUGGACCGCGGUCCGGCGCUCGUCUCUCCCCGCCGUCGCACUUCUCUUGGGCGCGCGUCAACGUCGGUUGGGACUGGGUCUGAAAGGUGCCGGGAAGGUAGGUGUGGGCCUCCGGGUCCGCUCUGUUACAGCCCGGUUCUCUCAUGGCUCGGGCCCGACCGAGGAGUUUGCAGGGCAUGCCUCUUGUGGCUAGGGUCCCCUCCUUCCGGCCGGCUGUCGAAUGCGGUGGACUGCUUCGAGUGCUCGGCGAACGCUGCCGGUCGUUGGGGUGGUGAUCU